UCAUGUUUUUUCUUUUCUGUAUAUUCAGUGUUUCCCGCACGUGUAGUCAGUGUUCGUUUACUCACCUGUUAAUUUCUUCCCACAGGUACGUGAGUCGCCGAGGCAGGUGUGACGGGAGAGAAGCGGAGGGUAACGAAAGGGAAAGUGAAGGAAUAGAAAAAAAUGAAAGUGAGACGGAAGGAUGUAACAGUAACAGUAACAGUGAGUAUAACACACACACACACACCUCCAUGGUCGUGUCAACAAGUUAGUCCCUCUGUGAUCGCUCUUAAUCCUUCCACCCAGCCCUGCCCCGCCCCGCCUCGCCUACCUAUUUCCACUCACCCCAACACAACACCGCCCCACUUCACCCCGCCAGCCAGUCAACCCACUCAACCUAUUCCAUUUACAUACUCUUUAUUUCUAUACCUUGUUAUUCUGCUUAGCUUGUGAGGACUAAGUUGUUACUGCCUUCCGCUGCACAGCCAUGGUUCACUGUUUUAACGUAAGCUCUUUUCAAAGGCUUAAAAGAAGUUCAGUCGGGUUCGAACAAGUGUUUUCUUAGGUUCAUGGUACAGAAAGAUCAAACUUCCACCAGGGUUAUGAAAGUAUCCCUAAAUGCUUCAAAGUCAUACGAAAGCCUUACCAAAUGUUUGUCCUAUGGCGACGAAAUGGCUAAGAAUAUGGCACAUGGCUCCGUUCUGUCCUGGGCCGGGCGGCGUGAGCAGAUUUGUCGCCGUUUUGCCCAGGCUUGGCGUCCAGCCCUGGCAAGACUGUCCACCGCGGGGCUAUCAGUGACGUGUGGCCAGCCAUUACCCAACGCCAUUCCAUCCCUGUCCCGUCCUACCCAUCCUGUACCAUCCUUAUCCCUUAUCCUAUCCUUCCCAUCCCAUCCAUUCUGUCCUAUCCCUUCCUCCCCACCCCAUCCAGCCGCCCCUUUCAUAGUACACCCCAUCCACCUCCAUUCCACCCCUCUCCCAUACUACCCCUCUCCAUUCAUCAACCAAGCUUCCCAGCACUACACUUUAGGUUGUAAAAUUCCCGGGAAUUUUGCGCUGGGAAACUUUCCAUGGGAAUUUCCGGUAACUUUGUGAAUUGAGAAAAAUUUGGAAGUUUCCAACGGCGCCUUUGUGCUUCUUUAUUUUUAUCCUGAGGUUAUUGUUGCCUCUUUAGACAUCAGUUUUAGGGGGCUGUUAGUGAAUGUCCCAUGUCCCUGCGUCCGUUGGUGGCGCAGGCAGGAUUGUUUAAAUGACGCCCAUUGAGGCACAUGCCGCCCUCGGUUUAAGGAUAAACCAACCUAACAAAACCUCAGACAGUCGCUAUAGGUCCUGAUUCAGAAAAGUCACAUAUGCUUCCUUACUAAUGAGACUUUCUAUACAACAAAGUGAGGUCAUUCUUUGUUUAUUUACACCAUAAGGUGCUGGCUAUCAUGUGCUUGAAGAUACCCUAAACUCAAUACCUUAAACUUAACCUACCUUAACCUAACAAUACCCCAAACAGUUACUAUAGGUCUUGACUCAGAAAAUUCAUAUACGCCUCCUUACUAAUGAGACUUAUUAUACAACAAAGUGAGUUAAUUCUUUGUUGAUUUAUUCCAUAAUGUGAUGGCUAUCAUGUGCUUGAAGAUAUCCUAAACAUAACCUAACAAAGCUCCAUACAGUUACUAUACUCAGAAAAUUCAUAUAAUUAUGCUCCCUCACUAAUGAGACUUUCUAUACUAGGCCAGUCGACAGAGGCUAAAAAAAAGGCGAAUAAGAAAAAAAAAAUCAAGGAAAGCUGCAAUAAGUUUCAUUGUCUUCGUAAUGGGGUACUAAUAACAUUAAUUUUGCGCCGGCUUUGGCCGCCAUUUUGAAAAUAUGGCGACCCAAAACAUUUUUUUUCUUUAUAAUUUUAUCACUUAGGACUCACUUUAGGGGACAGUGUGUCGAUAUAUAAAGUAAUCUACAUUAAAUCAUCUACAGAAAAUGUUUUAUACAUUGUUUUAGUGCGGUGCGCGGUUUUGACGCUUGAGGAGCGAGAAUGUGUGCACCAUUUCUUCCAUGACCCGCGGUGCCUGAUAUAGAAAAGCAAUACUUCUUGCAGGGGUGUCCCUCCUCCUUUAUUAUGUGUCCCUCCUCCUUUAUUAUGUGUCCCUCCUCCUUUAUUAUGUGUCCCUCCUCCUUUAUUAUGUGUCCCUCCUCCUUUAUUAUGUGUCCCUCCUCCUUUAUUAUGUGUCCCUCCUCCUUUAUUAUGUGUCCCUCCUCCUUUAUUAUGUGUCCUUCCUCCUUUACUCUGGCGUAGGACAGACAGCGAAUGCUCACUGGUGGAGUUACCACCCUUGCACCCAACCAUCCACCCGAUGUGUGUGUGUGUGUGUGAGAGAGAGAGAGAGAGAGAGAGAGAGAGUUUAUAGACGGAGAGCAGGGAUGAAAGGAAGGGAAAUAUAGAGUAAAGAAAAGAAGAAUAAAGAAACAGACGACUGAAGAGAAGCGGGAGCCCAGUGGGAGUAAGUCGGGAAGCCUGUGCGGCCGUCCCCGUGAGAGCCACACUCACUGUUGUUUGAUCUCAACAGUUGUGUUAAUACGAUGUAGCUUAAAGAUGUCGCCUGGUGAACUGUUUCUUGCUAAGUAAAGUCAUCCAGUCAGUCAUUCCAGCAAUCAGUCAGUCACGGAAGGAAAACAAUAAAGAGGGAAACGGAUGCUGCGCCGCAAGCCGUCGCGAGGAUUUCUUUGGAUGUUUGGGCGCGUUACCUUCGGCCUUCCGUCCCAGAACGGUGGACGCUAUGAUCGGCGACUUUUCCCUAUUUGUUUUUAAUUUCAUAAUCGAGUCUGGUAGUUUUAUUAAGCGAGAUCCUGCAUCUUCCCAUCCUCGCCUCGGCGGGGUGCGAAGCGCCAGCGAGCCCAAGGUCUCCCUGGCGAGCAUGGCAGGAAUGGAGAUCUCCCGGCAGGGCGCCUCGGCGUCCCCCGGGGCCUCCACGGAGGUGCCGGAGAUCUGCCGGCUACAAGCCCGGGCAGGUGCGGCUGGUUAGCCGUGGUAGGCAAUUCACCUAGAAGAGCAAACUCCGAACAACAAACCCGGGCAGGUGGAGGUCGUUAGCCGUGGUAGGCAAUUCACCUAGGAGAGCAAACUCCGAACAACAAACCCGGGCAGGUGGGGCUCGUUAGCCGUGGUAGGCAGUCUGCCUAGGAGAGCAAACUCCGAACAACAAACCCGGGCAGGUGGAGCUCGUUAGCCGUGGUAGGCAGUCUGCCUAGGAGAGCAAACUCCGAACAACAAACCCGGGCAGGUGGGGCUCGUUAGCCGUGGUAGGCAGUCUGCCUAGGAGAGCAAACUCCGAACAACAAACCCGAGCAGGUGGAGCUCGUUAGCCGUGGUAGGCAGUCUGCCUAGGAGAGCAAACUCCGAACAACAAACCCGGGCAGGUGGAGCUCGUUAGCCGUGGCAGGCAGUCUGCCUAGGAGAGCAAACUCCGAACAAUAAACCCGGGCAGGUGUCGCUCGUUAGCCGUGGUAGGCAGUCUGCCUAGGAGAGCAAACUCCGAACAAUAAACCCGGGCAGGUGGAGCUCGUUAGCCGUGGCAGGCAGUCUGCCUAGGAGAGCAAACUCCGAACAAUAAACCCGGGCAGGUGGAGCUCGUUUGAUGUCGUAGACAUCCACGUGAUGGGAACACCAAAAUGAAAAGGAGAAUGAAAAAGAACACCAGAAUAAUGAAAAUGUCGAAACGAAACACCAAGAAAACAAAAUAAGAAACAGAUCAUCCACCUUUCGGCCCUAAUUAACAUCACCAAAAUUAUGGGUGGGUCUUUUCUGGGGAGAAAAAGGCUCAUCCGGACCAAAGAACAUCAGAACGGAUGAUACAGAAAAGAUAAAAAACCAACAUUAAGAAAAGGAGAAAAAAACAUCAUCCACCUUUCGGCCCCAAGUAACAUCACAAAAUUAUGGGUGGGUCUUUUCUGGGGAGAAAAAGGCUCAGCCAGCCCAAAGAACAUCAGAACGGAUGAUACAGGAAAGAUAAAAGAUCAACAUCAAGAAAAGAAGAAAAAAACAUCAUCCGCCUUUCGGCCACAAGUAACAUCACAAAAUUAUGGGUGGGUCUCUUCUGGGAGGAAAGCGGCUCACCCAGACCAACGAACAUCAACAAAAGGAUGAUAUAGAAAACAACAAGAGCAAGAAAAUGAACAGAAUAACAUCGAAAAUGAAAGCAAAACAUCAAGGAAAGAAAACUAUUAGAAACAUCAUCCACCUUUCGGCCCUCAGCAACAUCACAAAAUUAUGGGUGGGUCUCUUCUGGGAGGAAAGCGGCUCACCCAGACCAACGAACAUCAACAAAAGGAUGACAGGAAAAGAAAGAAAAGGAAAAAGAAAAGGAAGAGAAAGAAAAGAAAGAGAAAAACACCAAUAGAAAAUAAAAUGAAAGAAAGAAAAGGAAAAAAUAUAGACAAAAGAAAGAAAAAGAAAAAAGAAUAACACUAAAAGAAAAGAAAGAAAAGAAAAAACAAAAGAAAG